GAUGAAGAACGUAGCGAAAUGCGAUAAGUAAUGUGAAUUGCAGAAUUCAGUGAAUCAUCGAAUCUUUGAACGCACAUUGCGCCCGCCAGUAUUCUGGCGGGCAUGCCUGUCUGAGCGUCAUUUCAACCCUCAUGCCCCUAGGGCGUGGUGUUGGGGAUCGGCCAAAGCCCGCGAGGGACGGCCGGCCCCUAAAUCUAGUGGCGGACCCGUCGUGGCCUCCUCUGCGAAGUAGUGAUAUUCCGCAUCGGAGAGCGAUGAGCCCAUGCCGUUAAACCCCCAACUUUCCAAGGUUGACCUCAGAUCAGGUAGGAAUACCCGCUGAACUUAAGCAUAUCAAUAAGCGGAGGA
rnacentral:misc_RNA from 1 species